rfam:Schistosoma curassoni strain Dakar, Senegal genome assembly, scaffold: SCTD_scaffold0001725
AUUCAGCUAACGAGUUCAAAACAGGACGCAACGCGAGUCCUGGAU